rnacentral:rRNA from 1 species
UACAGAGGGGCAAGCGUUGUUCGGAAUUACUGGGCGUAAAGGGCGCGUAGGCGGCCUACUAAGUCGGACGUGAAAUCCCUCGGCUCAACCGAGGAACUGCGUCCGAUACUGGUGGGCUUGAAUCCGGGAGAGGGAUGUGGAAUUCCAGGUGUAGCGGUGAAAUGCGUAGAUAUCUGGAGGAACACCGGUGGCGAAGGCGGCAUCCUGGACCGGUAUUGACGCUGAUGCGCGAAAGCCAGGGGAGCAAACGGG